UGCUCAGUAACGGCGAGUGAAGCGGCAAGAGCUCAAAUUUGAAAGCUGGCCCCUUCGGGGUCCGCGUUGUAAUUUGCAGAGGAUGCUUCGGGUGCGGCCCCUGUCUAAGUGCCCUGGAACGGGCCGUCAGAGAGGGUGAGAAUCCCGUCUUGGGCAGGGUGCCCGUGCCCGUGUGAAGCUCCUUCGACGAGUCGAGUUGUUUGGGAAUGCAGCUCUAAAUGGGUGGUAAAUUUCAUCUAAAGCUAAAUACCGGCCGGAGACCGAUAGCGCACAAGUAGAGUGAUCGAAAGAUGAAAAGCACUUUGAAAAGAGAGUUAAACAGCACGUGAAAUUGUUGAAAGGGAAGCGCUUGCGACCAGACUCGGCCCCGGGGUUCAGCCAGCACUCGUGCUGGUGUACUUCCCCGGGGGCGGGCCAGCGUCGGUUUGGGCGGCCGGUCAAAGGCCCCAGGAAUGUAUCGCCCUCCGGGGUUGUCUUAUAGCCUGGGGUGCAAUGCGGCCAGCCCGGACCGAGGAACGCGCUUCGGCACGGACGCUGGCGUAAUGGUCGCAAACGACCCGUCUUGAAACACGGACCAAGGAGUCUAACAUCUACGCGAGUGUUCGGGUGUCAAACCCGUACGCGCAGUGAAAGCGAACGGAGGUGGGAGCCCCCCCGGGGCGCACCAUCGACCGAUCCUGAUGUCUUCGGAUGGAUUUGAGUAAGAGCGUAGCUGUGGGGACCCGAAAGAUGGUGAACUAUGCCUGAAUAGGGCGAAGCCAGAGGAAACUCUGGUGGAGGCUCGCAGCGGUUCUGACGUGCAAAUCGAUCGUCAAAUUUGGGUAUAGGGCGAAAGAC
rnacentral:rRNA from 1 species